AAGCUACGAAGUAAGUGGGAUGGACCAUACAAGGUUAUUGACACUUCAACUCAUGGAGCCAUUACCAUCCAAGACGACAUAGGUAACACUUUCAAGGUAAAUGGUCAACGCUUGAAAAUCUAUCUCGAGCCACAAAACAACCUGGUAGAGGAACUUGAUGAGAUUGAGUUCAUAGAAUUCUCACAUUAAGCUCUCAUAAGCUCUAGAUAAUUACCUAACCCUUAACAAGUUCCACGAGUUUUGUUGUCUAUCUGGGUUGUGCAGGAUUUUGAGGCUUAAGAAGAGUGAGACCGAACAUGCAGGCCACAAGGGUGAACGACUAUGUCAACAUCCAGCUUGGGGGAGGCACCCACACGUGUAUCUAGAUAAGUAUUACUUUUCAUUCUUAGUUUUAUUUACUAGUAUUCGGAAAUAAAUAAAUAAAAAAAAUGCAUAAUUAUGAAACUAAACAGAGUUUUUCUUUUGAGUAAUAUACAAUAGUUUUGUGUAAUCCUAAGUUUUAAAUAAAAUAAAAAGAAGUUUGAUCCUAGUCUAGGUAAUUGACAAACAUGAUAUGAGAUGGUCUGAGCUACUAUUUAACUUGUUCCAAGUUUCGCUAGAGUUCUGGAGAUUUUAUCUUUUGAAAAUCUAAAAAAAAUGAGAUCCUGUUUGACAUAAUACCUAGUGUCUUGUAAGAUAUAAAUAUUAAAACUGUGGGCACUUGCUUUGUUCAAGCCAUUGUUAAUUCUUGUAGUUUUGGUUGAGAGAAUUAUCAUGCUCCAAAGAUCAAGAUCUUUUUGUUUUAAAAAUAUAAAAGAUUCACUCUUCCGAAGUAUUAUUGCAUUAGAGGCAUGGGACUAUGCAAAAAUUUGAUUCGAAAAAAAAAGAGUGAGACGAGAGGUAAAAAUGGACAAGUGUCCAAAGUAGAAUUAGGGGUACAAAGAUACCCACCUGAGUGGAAAAAAAUGGACACGUGUCCGAUAGUAGAAUUAGGGGUACUUGGCGCCCACUUAAACAAAAGAAAAAAAUGAUAGCCCAUGGUCCCUCUAAUAAGCAAUAUUCCAUUAAGAGAUGACAAACUUUUCAAAAAGGUCAAAUGUCUUGAUCUAGGAGGAUGACAUUCCUCUCCCUUGCUCCAAGCAUUGACAUAGCAAAAUGCAAAGUAAGUAUGCUAAAACUUUUAAAGCUCUACUUAUAUAUCUUUCGAGAAGAAGCAAAUGCCUCAGUUUUAUUUUGGAAACUUAAAAAAGACUCCAGAACAAAGGUAAGACAGAAGAACUUGAGACAUAGUGCUUGACUUGAUCGUUCUGUUUUUCAAUCACUUAAGACCUUAAUGAUAACUUAAAAACCCUGUAGUAAGAGGCAUAAAAGUAACCCCUGUUUUCUUGCUGAUUUUAGCUUUGCUCAGGGAUGAGCAAAGGUUAAGCUUGGGGGAGCUUGUUGACGGUCCUUAAUGCUCACAUUUAACCAUCAACUAAUCAUGGAAAAGGACCUAUAUACAAUCAACAUCCAAAAUUAGGGUUUCAUCUCACAGAAUUCCAUGAGUUUUGGUGUUUGUCUAGUUCUGCAGGGGGUUAUUAGGAAAUAUGGAGGAAAGGCCCACACGUCGGGUUUACAUAGAGAUAUUAACGUGCCGCGUAAUUUUCUAUCAUCUAGAAGACUCCAGAAGCCACGGGAACGAAGCGGAGGCAGAACGGGGCCUGGCCUAGGGCGCCCGCCCUCCUGUAGUGCCCAAUUAGGUUCAACUUCGCGGAUCGUGCCCCACCGACCUAAUGGAUCAAGGAUAACCGUUGAAUCAAUGUCGGUUUGAUCCGACGGCCUAGAUUCAUUUGAAAAGACUAUAUAAGCAGACCCCCUGGCCCCUGGAGAACAUACCUCUUCUACAAAAUCAAAGCUAGGGUUUCAAUUGUUCAUCCAAGUAGAGAGGAUCCCUCUAGUUCAUCUAGUUCUAGUUAGUUCUAGUUGUAAUCUAGAAAAUAGAGAGAGAGAAGAGGAGAGCUGAGGAGGAGCCGGAUUUGUCGGAUCUUCCUCAACAUUGUACUUUUGCAGCAACUGGUUCGUUCUUCAUCGUUCUCCAUGUUCUUCAAUUUAUAAUUCCUGAGUUAUUUAAUUACUUUUAUUUACAUUCAAGUUAUUUAUUGGAUUCCCGCUUGCAUCAAGUGCUCUAGUCUUUGCAACGCUAGAGUAGUAAUUAAUAGAUUAGACGUGGUGUUUAGUCUUGCAAUUACCUGGAAUUGCACCCAAUCCUGCGGAUUGUUGUGGUAGCCCUAGGGUAGUGAUAGCCUUAAUGGUCGACGUAUUCCACCUCGUUCGGAUCGGUGUUUGUAGGACCGUAGACAGAGCUUCCUAGCCCCCUUCUCAUCUCUUUCUAUGGUUAGUGUUCUGAUGUCCCAAAAUAAAUAAUCUUUGAAGUAAUUCUCGAUUUUUAGAUCAACUAGAGAACUCUCACGAAACUUCCUCUCUUUCCACCAAAAAUAAUUAUAUAGUUAUCCUUGGGCGAUCUUGAAUCUUAAUUAGUACACUCACGUUCUCUGUGGAAAAUCGGUACUCUAGAAUACUCCUGGGUGAAAGCUACAUCGGUAUCCAUGCGCUUGCAGAUUUUUCUGUUUGUGUUUAAAAUACCCAAUAGGGCACAAGAUACCCACCUGAGAGAAAAGAAAAACGAAAUAUAGCAUCUCAAAAUAGAAGGCAUGUCCGAUGAGACCGUUAAAUGGAAGCUCUUUCCGUUCUCUUUAACAGGGAAAGCUAGACAUUGGUACAAACUCAAAGUAGGGAGUGUUCAUGGAGAUUGGAAGUAGUUAUAUAAUAGUUUCUUUUUAAAUAUUUUCCAAUCUCCAAAGUGGCGGAACUUCGGCGUGAUAUUAUUUCUUUUAGACAACUGGAAGAAGAAUCUCUUGGCAAAUCAUGGGACCACUUUAUUAACCUUACUCUCACUGGCCCAAAGCUUUCUAUUUCACAAGAAGUUCUUCUAAUUUACUUUUUUGAGGGCCUUAGUAGGGAAAAUAAGCAAACCUUGAAUACAGCCUCUAGAGGAUCCUUCUAUCACCUACCUGCUAGUGAAGCUAGGGAUUUAAUUGAUUCAUUAAGUGGAAAGUUUCCUAGCAUUUAUAUCCCUGAGGAAAAGAAAGAACCAGUUCCUAGACAAGAAGAAGAAGUUUCGAUAGCCAGAUCACAACCACUUCGAUCCCAAACUUUAGCUAUCGAUCCUAAACCAUCAAUACCCCAAAAUUCUCCAAGGGAGGAAGGAAUUAUGACCUUAAAUCUUUCAGAUGCUGAUGGUUUAGACUUCUGGUUCCAUAAGAGACCUUCAAGGAGGGAUAAUUCAAAUCUUUGCAAUAAUGGUUCUCUUAGAGAAUGUCCUGCUUCCUGUUAUUAAGAAGUCGAGGAUGACAUAUCAAGUGAAGGAGAGCUAAACCAUAUAGAAGAUUCUAUCUGCUCCCCUUCCAUGUUCACAAAUUCUAAAUCCAUCCUUGACCUUAGAGACCCCUCUUAUCCCUCUCCUUUUAAGUCUCAUGAUGAUCCUAACAAUCCAUCAGGAGGAUCAAACCAUAGGAGUCAUAAAGACCAUGAGGAUGACAUGUCAAGUAAUCUCAUAGAAGGAGAGCUAAGCCAUAUAGAAAAUUCUAACACCUCCCUUUCCUAAUCACAAGUUCCAAAUGGCUAGAAUGUGUAGAAUGGAUGGAUAAGGAAGAAGCCUUAAUGGAUUCUGACUUUGGCUCAAUUUCAAAUGGUGAGUUCUUGACUCCCUUUGAAGAUGAGAUUCAUCCAACAAUAGAAGAGGACAUAGGUGAGACCAAUCCAGAAGAGGACAUAGGUGAGACCAAUCCAGGAGAAACUCCGAACAUUCAGAUUGGAGACGAAGAUAACAUUAAUGAGCAUGGAAUUUAUUUCAUAGCCACUUCGUUUACUCCAUGCUCAUAUGCAACAUCUUCCCAAUCUAUUGGUCUCUCCAACAUCACCACAUUUGAGACCUCCAACCCCCUCUUCCUUUCUAUUUAUAAAAACUUUAAAAGGGCGGUUGUCGAUGCAUAUGUCUAUAAUAAAUAUUGCAGAUCUCGUUGAGUUGAUCUUGAUAUAGGUCAGCGUUGGAAGGGAAACCACUUCGCCGACAUAAAUUGAUGGUUUCCCAAGGAUAAGUUUAGUGUACUAAAAUAAGCACUAAUCAGAUCGUAACAUGAGCUUUUAAUUAUUUGCAACAUUGCCUUGUGCAUUGAGCAUAUAAGGAUAAUUGUAAAAAUAUUCCUUCGGGUAUUCUUGUCACUAACCUUUCCAAGAUUGGAGCAAGAAGAUCGGAUGAAUGACAAGCAAGUACAAGGUAUGUCCAACCAAUCAUCAUGCAACACUAAAUUAAAUUCAUCCAAACUUGAAUUUUGCAAAAUUCAAGCUUGGGGGAAUACUUUACAUAAAAACAUCCUUUGCCAUGUUGCUAUGUUGGUUGUCCCUAUCUUUGAGACAUGUUCAAUUUGCUAAAGACUAAUCACACUACUUCAUCUCCACUUGAGUAGAUCUCUAUAAAUGCUCUCAUGCUACCUUUUUCUAUUCACAAGCAAGCGAUGGUUUGGAAGUACUCGACAUACUUCCAUUGGCAUUUAAAUUAAGCAUGGUGCUUAAGUUAAAUAGCUUUCCUUAAUCUAAUUAGACAUGGAGUCUAGUUUGGUUACUGAACUAAAAACUGUUUGAGUAGACAGUUGUAUAUUUUGUUGGACUAACCCCGGCAGGAAAACUUUCAAUAUCGACCUGGGAAGUCCUAAGAUAAACUCACAUCGGAGACAAAGAGAGAGACACAUGAGGGUUAACAAUUUACACAAGGAAGGCAUAGCUCACAAGAAAUGAUCCAUGGAGGGUGCCACAAACACGUUGCACAACCGCUAAGAAAGGAAAGCUUCCACAAGGUGAUACUGUACCAUCACUCUUCAAGUAAGGUAACAUCUUAAGGUACUUGACUGUCACUUUUAUAAGCUUCUCCUUGGUUCUGGCGUUCACAUGAAUAAAGAGACAAACAUAAAUUAACCAACCCAAUUAAUUCAACAUGUUUAGUCCUUUGAUCUUUGUUCUUAGUACUACCUUCGUGAUCCCACACUCCUAAUCAUAUAAGCUAAAAUGUUGCACAUUCAAUCUUUGGAAGAUAUAAAUAAAAACAUAAAUAAAGAUAGAUUAUCUUUCCAUUAUGUUGAGCGAUCUGAUCUGACAAAUGUUUUAAAUACUACACUCAUGAUCUUAUUAUCCAUCAAAUUUGUCUUGCUCCCUAUGCUUAAGGAUAGAGAAGAUAUACUUUUGGUUUUGUUGGUGUUUUCCACCAACAGGACCCAUGCACUUGAUCUCUGCCUUGUCUCUAUGAGCAGAACACAUUUUGAGAAACGUGGAAGAUUUUUCAACUCCCAGACUCUACCAAGUGAAGGACGUGGAUCUACGAGCACAAACACACUGAGCAGGAUGUUGCCAACACCGCACUUCAAACUGCUGGGCUAACGAAGAACAUGGGUGACACCGUAUCAAGAGGUGCAGACGUCAAGGUCCACACCUGAAUCAAAUGACGCACCUAAAGAAUGAACACGGUGAGAAGUCUUGUUCAGAAGACUUAAAACGUUGAACCCUCGCCGAAAGGUAAAAUCGGUAGUUAUCCAUAUUUAUCCUUUCUACAUUCCCUUUCCAUCAAAUUAUUGACUUUCCUUAAUAGCUUGUCAGUUAAUCAUGCUAUAUUGAAAAGAAAUUAAAAAUGUUAAAACUAGUAAGCCCCAUGUGAGUAUGCUCGUGACAUAAAACCCAUAAGUACAUUCACUGUGGUGGCGUAAAAAUAAAAUAAAUAUAUUCCUGUCCUAUAGAAAUGAAAAUAUAAAAAUAAAUUUAUGAUCCUACCAAAGAGAGUAAUAUUUAUUAGAGGAAGCACAACAUGAUAAAGGCAAAGAGAUUUUUAUGCUAACACUUAACCAGUUCCACAAAGCUUUGUUGUCUAUUUGAGCUCCACAGAAUUCAAGGAUCAAAGAAGACUAGCAGACGAAGGACAUCCUAAUUACUGUCAGCGUGCUGCCGACAUUCAAAUACACCUCCACCACCUGCUAGCUACAUCAGAAGAAUUACAUCAAAAUCUAGCUUGGGGGAGAGCACCCCCAUUUAUCCAGCUAAGUGUUUCUACGCAUUUAUACUUUACUCAAAUAAUAAAAAGAUGCAUAAUCAUAAAAACCCAAAUAAAGAUAUUGUGCUUAUAUAUAUAUCUUUGCUUAGUUUUCUAAAUAAAUAAAUAAAUAAAAUUUGCUAUGAACCCUUAUGAUAAGCUCUCACAUGGAAAUGAUGAAUAGUUGCUCUGCCAUGACUAGUUCUUAAAAUUGAAUUAUCUCUCAAGUUUAGGCAUGACUGUUAUGAAUUAAGAUUUGCUCUAAACCUGGACUUGUGGGAAGAGUACCUCAUCAAAAGUCUAAGUCGUUAAUAGAUAUGAUAUGGGAAGGUUGAGUUGCUAUUUAUCUGUUUGUAGAGAUGCUAGAAUUCUGGAGAAUUUUAUCUUUGAAAAUCUUUAAAAUUUUGCAUGAUGAGUUCCUGUAUGAUGAGAGUUUAAAAUCCUACCAUAGCCAUAUAUACAUGCUUAUUAGACUAUGAACCAUACAUUUACUUUUUACUACUUGUGAGCAUUGAGUGUGAUCAAGCUGUGUAGACCCUUAGGAGCUUGUCAUGUGGUUAAAAUUAAGAUUCACUUGCACGUUCACUCAUACAUGCUGCUUCUACUCCGGAAGUAUGCAUCCACAUACAUCCACUCAUUUCCAUCUCUAGAUUCACCCAAAAUUAUUCUACUCCUAUCCGGGAGAGAAUAGCUAAAAACAUUAUCCCAUUCUUGCUUUUCCCUGUGAAAUAAAUGCUCGAGAUAUUUUGGUUACUACCACUUGCUACAUUAUUCCAGGAGGGUGAGUGCUCUAAAAAAAAGAGAGAGAAGAAAAAAGAAAAAUACGAGGAAAUAAAAAGGGGCAAGUGCCCGGAACCUCGAAGAAAAGAAAAAGUGAGACGAGAGGUAAAAAUGGACAAGUGUCCGACAGUAGAAUUAGGGGUACAAGAUACCCACCUGAGAGAAAAGAAAAAAUAAAAUAUAGAGCAUCUCAUUCCCCUCAAAAAAGUUUCAAAAGUGCAAGAAAGGUAUGUAUCCCCUCAAAAGAGCAAAAGUAGAAUUAGACAUUCACCAUUGUUUUCACCAUUGUUAUUACUAUCAUCACCAUACACCAUUCAUUCGCCACACGUGCACAUCUUGAUAUUGACUUAUUGACAUGUUUCUCUGCAUCCAUGGUUUGACUAUGCAAUAAAUGUCUUGUAAGUAUGUAUGCUUUAUCUCCCACCUAUGAGCAACAGAUAUCAAAACCUUAUUAGAGUAGGGUGAGAGAGAAGGCAAUGUCACUAUGCCUCAUACCAAAAAUACCACAUACUUUGAGAGAAGGCAUAUACCACAAAAGAGAGACUAGAGAGAGUCAUACAGGAAUCUCUGAGUUUUAUUUGAAAAUCUGCAAAAACUCUAGAGCUAUAGUUGAUCAAAGAACAAGAGACAUGGCGCUUGACUUGACCGUUGCAAGUGACGGUUGCAAGCCCCAUGGUGGAAGGUAAUAUGAGUAAGUUUAAAUCUUAAUAGUUUACCCUAACCGAGAGAUGAGACCUUAUUUGAAAGCAUGUGUAUCGUCAACUUUCUAAGGCAUUGUAGCAAUUUCUAAUCCAUCACUAAGUCUAUCCUUGCUCAGGGACGAGCAAGAGGUAAUCUUGGUGGAGUUUGUUGACGGUCCUUAAGUAACCGACACCUAGACUUAGGGUUUUAUCUGACAUAAUUCCACGAGUUUUGGUGUUUGUCUAUUUCUGCAGGGGAUUGUUGCGUAUUCUUACCAUCACUACCAAAAGUAGACAGUUUUCUAAUUCUAGUAACGGUGCCAAAAAUGCCAAACCUAUCCCUCAUACCACUUAAGCCAAGUUGUGAUCCCCAACAUGACAUGACAGACGCGGUAUUGAAAUAUGCAAUUGCUCUUCUAAAUAAAUAAUGAAUGGGAUCUGCAAGCGCACAGAUUAAUACCGAUGUAGCAUUUUAAUCGGGAAGUAUUCCAGGUAUCGUUAUUUAUAUUUUUACCACUGGGAAGGGAUUAGCAAUCAUCAAUAUUGAUUAUAUAAUAGAAUACGAGAUUGAGUAUCUAUCAUUGCAUGUAUAAUUGAGAACAUUUAUCUAACUCUUUCAUACAGGGAUAAGUGUCACAUAAAAGAUAUAUGAAGUAAUGAAUAGUGACAAAGAUAAUUAAUCUGAUCAACAUAACUUAGCCACAUAUAAAUAUGAUAAGCACCUCAAUUAGAUACUCUAGAAAGUGAUUAGCAUGGUAUUAGAAUGAACUACAAGAAUAUUUCCUAAGUUAUUCUCAACUAUAUAGUCUAGCAUAUCAUAGUUAGUGCAAGCAUACUUAGCAAUCAUUGCGAGACAAGACUACGCCCAUGCAUAGUGAUAUUAGCAAGGUAAAUGAGAAACAUAGCAAUCACUCCCCUGUAAUAAUGUUGCUCUGCCAGCCCAAUACAAGAGAGGGGGACUAUAUAAGAAUCAAUGAAGCUGUCACUAUCACGAACUACCCCACGGUCUGGCAUAUUGGGUACAAUCGUAGAUAAAUAUGGUAUAAGCACCACGCCUACACAAUAUCUAUCAUUUACCCAUGGAUCCGAUGGAUAAAUGCUAUACGAUCCUAAACAUGUAUAUAGAUCCAAUCUAACUAAGCCAAGUAUAUAACUAUGAUAAACUAAGAACAAUAUAAUCUUGAAUAUAAACAAGUAGAGCAAAGUCAUAAGCAAUAUAUUGAAGUAGAACAAAGUCAUAUUCAUAAUAUUGAAGAACAGAGAUAAUUAUAAGAACAAUUAGAAGCAUAAUUAGGGAAUUACCAAGAAUACUCUUGACAGAUCCGAAAACCAAUCGAAGAUUGACUCCUUCUAGUUCUAAUCCUAUGUAGCUAUGCUAAUCUAGAUAUCUAAUUGAUGUGGUGGCUCUAGGCUUGAUCAGAGGCUUCUUCUCCCUUGAGGAAUAAUGAAUUAGGGUUGAGAGGCUCUCUCCUCCAGGGGCCAGGGGGUCUGGUUUUAUAGUCUCUGCAAGUGAAUAUGGGCCGUUGGAUCAAACCGACAUUGAUUUAACGGUUAUUCUUGAUCCUUUAGGUCGGUGGAGAUCUUUCCCAAAAGAGAGUCCUAUUUGGACUCCAACAGGGGGCGGGCGCCCGGUGCCUGGCCCCGUUCGGCCUCCGCUUCCUUCUCAUGGCUUCUGUAGUCUUCUAGAUGUAAGAUAAUUGCACGGUUCGUUGAUAUCUCUAUGUAAUCUCGACGUGUGGGCCUUUCUUCCGUAUUUCCUGAUAACCCCCUGCAGAAAUAGACAAACACCAAAACUCGUGUAAUUCUAUCAGAUAAAACCCUAAGUCUAGAUGUUGAUUUCAUUUGGAUCCUUUUCUUUGUAUAUUUGUUAGUUAAAUUUGAUACUUAAGGACCGUCAACAAACUCCCCCAAGCUUACCUCUUGCUCGUCCCUGAGCAAGGAUAGAUUAGAAGUUGCUGCAAUUCUUUUAAAAAUUGACGGUACACAUGCUUUUAAAUAAGGUCUCAUCUCUGAGUUAGAGUAAACUGUCAAGGCUUAAAACUUACUUUACCUUCCACCAUGGGACUUGUAACCGUCACUUGUAUCUUGAGUAGUUAAAAGAUAGAACGGUCUAAUCAAGUGCCAUGUCUCUUAUUCUUGAUCAGCUAUAGCUCUGGAGUUUUUACAGAUUUUCAAAUAAAACUCAGUGAUUCCUUGUAUCACUCUCUCAAAUCUCUCUUUUGUGGUAUUUCUAGAUCCUUACCAAGGCAGUGAUGGUAUAUGCCUUCUCUCAAAGUAUGUGGUAUUUGUAGUAUAAGGCAUAGUAACAUUGCCUUCUCUCUCACCCUACUCUAAUAAGGCUUUUAUAUUUGGAGCUCAUUGGUGGGAGAUAAAAUAUACAUACUCACAAGACAUUUAUUGUAUAGUCAAACCAUGGAUCCAAAGAAACAAAUCAAUAAGUCAAAUCAAGAUGUGCAUGUGUGGCGAAUGUAUGGUGUAUGGUGAUGGUGAUAACAAUGGUGAAAGUCUAAUUCUACUUUUGCUCUUUGAGGGGAUACAUACCUUCCUUGCUCUUUGAAACUUUGAGGAGAAUGUGAUGCUCUUCUUUUUUCUUUUUCUUUCUUUCCUCUCAGGUGGGUAUCUUGUACCCCUAAUUCUACUAUCGGACACUUGUCCAUUUUUACCUCUCGUCUCACUUUUUCUUUUCUUUCGAGGUUCCGGGCACUUGCCCCUUUUUAUUUCCUCGUAUCUUUUUUUUAGAGCACUCAUCUCAUGAGAUAAUAUAGCAAGUGGUAGUAACAAGAUAACUUGAGCAUUUAUUUCACAAGGGAAAAACAUAAAUGUUUUUGGCUAUUCUCUCCCGGAUUAGGAGUAGAAUAUUUUUGGGUGGUUCUGGAGAUGGAAAUGGGUGGAUAUAUGUAGAUGGUACUUCCGGAGUAGAAGUAGCAUAUGUGAGUGAACGUGCAAGUGGAUCUUGAUUUAACCACAUGACAAGCUUCUAAGGGUCUACACAGCUGGAUCACACUCAAUGCUCAUAAGCAGUAAAUAGUAAAUGUGUGGCUCAAAGUCUAGCAAGCAUGUAUAUAUGGCUGUGGUAGGAAUUUAAACUCUCAUCAUACAGGAACUCAUCAUGUGAUAUUUUAAGCAUUUUUAAAGAUAAAAUUCUCAAGAAUUCUAGCAUCUCUAGGAACAGAUAAACAGCAGCUCAACCUUCCCAUAUUGUAUCCGUUAACAACUUAGAUUUCAGAUCAAGUUUUCAUCCCACAAGUUUAGGUUUAGAGCAAGCUUUAAAUUAUAACAGUUAUGUCUAAACUUGAGAGAGAACUUAAAUUGAAAAUUAGGCAGAGCAACUAUUCAUCAUAUCCGUGGUAGAGUUUUUAUCAUUAAGAUUCAGAUUAGCAUAGCCACUUUAUUUAUUUAUUAAGAACACUAAGCAAAAGAUAUAUAUAUUUAUAAGCAUAAACUCUUUAUUUGGUUUUUCAUAGUUAUGUAUAUUUAAUAUAGUAAAAGUAUAAAGAUAGAUAGAAAUACUUAUCGAGAUAAAUGGGGGUGCUCUCCCCCAAGCUGAAUUUUGACGUAAUUCCUCUUGAUGUAGCUAGUAGGUGGCAGAGGUGUAUUUGAAAGUCGGCAAUAUUCUGACAGCGAUUAGAAUGUCCUCCGUCUGCUAGUCUUCUUGAUUCUUGAUUUCUGUGGAGCUCAAAUAGACAACAAAGCUUUGUGGAACUCAUUAAGUGUUAGCAUAAAUAUCUAGCCUUUAUUGUGUUGAGUCUCCUCAAUCUUACUCUCUAUAUUUAUAUUUUCAUUUAUAAUGCAGAAAGGAAAUAUUUGUUUUAUUUUUAUGCCACCACAGUGAAUGUACUUAUGAGUUGCAUGCCACUCGUAUACUCACAUGGGGCUUACUAUUUUUUAACAUUUUUAUUUUAUUUUUAGGAUAGUAUGAACAUGAUUAACUAAGCAAACUAUUUUAAAUAAUUGACAGGAAAAAAGAUAACUACCAAGUUUACCUCUUGGCAAGGCAUUCGUUGUUUUUAUGUCCUCCGAACGGGAAUCUCCGUUUUCUUCAAUUGUCCUAGGAUUCGUUGGGUGGCGGAGUCGGUACUACCGGCAGCGCCUCUGUUGACGGUCCUUAAGUAUCAAAUUUAAUUAUCAAAUAAACAAAGAAAAGCAUCCAAAUGAAAUCAACUUAGGGUUUUAUCUGACAGAAUUCCACGAGUUUUGUUGUUUGUCUAUUUCUGCAGGGGGUUAUCAGGAAAUACGAAAGAAAGGCCCACACGUUGGGAUUACAUAGAGAUAUUAACGUGCCGCGCAAUUAUCUUACAUCUAGAAGACUCCAGAAGCCACGGGAAGGAAGCUGAAGCCGAACGGGGCCAGAGGCAGGGCGCCCGCCCUCCUGCCCUGCGCGCCCGCCCUGACUUGGAGCCCAAUCAGGACUCUUUCUCUCGGGAGAUCUCCACCGACCUAAAGGAUCAAGAAUAACCGUUCAAUCAAUGUCGGUUUGAUUCGACGGCCUAGGUUCACUUGAGGGGACUAUAUAACCAGACCCCCUGGCCCCUGGAGCAGGCAACCCCUUGAUCAUUAUUCAUUAUUCAUAGACAGAGCAAAAGCUAGGGUUUAGAGAUGAGGGCUCUCCUCUCUUCUCUAAACUAGAGUAGAUCUAGAUAGUAGCAAGAUGGAGAGCGAAGGAGGAUUAGAGUAGAGGCCGGCCUGUCGGUUCUUCCUCCGGUUGUACUUCGUCAUGAUCAAGCUCUAAUCAAGCUUGCUCAUGGGAUGACUCUGGUAAUCUACUUCUAAUUCAUUAUGCAAUUACUAAUUAUGUAUGUUCUGGUUCACAACUCUUUUGAGUACUUUAAUCUAUAGGACGCUAUAGGUGAGAGUUGUAGUAUAGGUGUAAGCGUGGUGCUUAGACCUAGAUUACUUGUGGAUAUCCCCUGUCUAGCUGGAUCGUGUGGUAGGCCGCGUAGGUGACAGUUACGUUGGUCCUCUGUAGUCCACCUCUCGUUAGCAGGACGGGUAGGGUUUAUCGGCCUAUGGAUACGCAUCCUUUGUGGUGUAUUCUUAUCACGUGGUUCGUCCCAGACAUAGACAUACCCCUUUGAAGUAGAGAAACCAUAGUUAUCCUCUCUAUUCUGCUACCAUCGCCCAUAUACUAGAAUUGCUCUACUCUCUAUUCAGAUAUUAUCACUCACUGUUAUCUUACCUUUAAUAUUGUUCUUAUUCGAUUCUACCAUCUUUCCUAUCUACACUUAUUUACUUAUCUUGAUUAAGUUACAGCAUAGAUCAGUUUUCCCGUUUCCCUGUGGAUACGAUAAAACCUUUAACCGGAUAAAAGCUUCAACGGUAUCCAUGCGCUUGCGGAUUAUCUGUGUGCGUAUAAAUACCAUAGUACACUCUAGUGCCAUGCUGGGGAUGACAACCUAGUAUUCAAGUGGUGUUAGCAAGUGUCAACAAGCAUUUUUGGCUCCGUUGCUGAUGAAACGGUUGCUGAGCUGACUACGAACUAGCUUAAUCAUUUUCUAAAAAAAAAUAGAAAAAAUAUUUUCCUUUUGUCCUUUGCCUCAUCUAUGCUAAUCAUUCUUCUUAUCUAAUCCUUGAUCUGUGGUCUAUCAUGAAUUCAAACAUGUCUAUCUAUGAAUUUCAUAGACCUACGGGCACACAUCCCGAACCACCAAAAUCUUCAAAGCCUAUCAUAGCAUCUAGUUUUGAGAUAGACCCCGAAUACAUAGAAUUUGUUCAAAAAAAACCUUUCUCAGGAGAAGGUGAGGAAAACCCAUACACACACCUAAGAGAGUUUUAUCGAGUCUGUGACCUCCUUCGCGUAGAAGGAAUGUCCGAUGAGACCCUCAAAUGGAAGCUCUUUCCGUUCUCUUUAACGGGAAAAGCUAGACAUUGGUACAAACUCAAAGUAGGGAGUGUUCAUGGAGAUUGGAAGGAGUUACAUAAUAGUUUUCUUUUAAAAUAUUUUCCAAUCUCUAAAUUGGCGGAACUUUGGCGUGAGAUUAUUUCUUUUAGACAACUAGAAGAAGAAUCUCUUGGCAAAUCAUGGGACCGCUUUAUUAACCUUACUCUCACUGGCCCCAAAGCUUUCUAUUCCAGAAGAAGUUCUUCUAAUUCACUUUUUUGAGGGCCUUAGUGGGGAAAAUAAGAAAACCUUGAAUACUGCCUCUAGAGGAUCCUUCUACCACCUACCUGCUAGUGAAGCUUGGAAUUUGAUUGAUUUAUUAAGUAGAAAGUCUCCUAGCUUUUAUAUCCUUGAGAAAGAGAAAGAACCAGUUCCUAGACAAGAAGAAGAAGUUUCGAUAGCCAGAUCACAACCAAUUCAAUUCCAAACUUUACCUAUCGAUCCUAAACCAUCAAUACCCCAAAAUUCUCCAAGGGAGGAAGGAAUUCCGACCUUAAAUCUUUUAGAUGCUGAUGGUUUAGACUUCUGGUUCCAUAAGAGACCUUCAAGCAGGGAUAAUUCAAAUCCUCGCAAUAAUGGUUCUCUUAGAGAAUGUCCUGGUUCCUGUUAUGAAGAAGUCGAGGAUGACAUAUCAAGUGAAGGAGAGCUAAGCCAUAUUAAAAAUUCUAACACCUCCCCUUUCCUGAUCAUAAGUUCUAAAUGGCUAGAAUGUGUAGAAUGGAUGGAUAAGGAAGAAGCCUUAAUGAUUUCUGACUUUGGAUUCAUCCAACUAUAGAAGAGGACAUAAGUGAGACCAAUCCAAGAGAAACUCUGAAUAUUCAGAUUGGAGACGAAGAUACCAUUAAUGAGCAUGGAAUUUAUUUCAUAGCCACUUUGUUUACUCCAUGCUCAUAUGCAACAUCUUCCCAAUCUAUUGGUCUCUCCAACAUCACCACAUUUGAGAUCUCGAACCCCCUCUUCCUUUCUAUUUAUAAAAACUUUAAAAGGGCGGUUGUCGAUGCAUAUGUCUAUAAUAAAUAUUGCAGAUCUCGUUGAGUUGAUCUUGAUUUAGGUCAGCGUUGGAAGGGAAACCACUUCGCCGACAUAAAUUGAUGGUUUCCCAAGGACAAGCUUGGUGUCCAAAAAUAAGCGCUGAUCAGAUCAUAGCAUGAGUUUUUAAUUAUUUGCAACAUUACCUUGUGUAUUGAGCAUAUAAGGAUAAUUGUAAAAAUAUUCCUUCAGGUAUUCUUGUCACUAACCUUUCCAGGAUUGGAACAAGAAGAUCAGAUGAAUGACAAGCAAGUACAAGGUAUGUCCAACCAAUCAUCAUGCAACACUGAUAAAUUCAUCCAAACUUGAAUUCUGCAAAAUUCAAGCUUGGGGGAGUACUUUACAUAAAAACAUCCUUUGCCAUGUUGCUAUGUUGGUUGUCCCUACCUUUAAGACUUGCUCAAUUUGUUAAAUACUAAUCACACUACUUCAUCUCCACUUGAGUAGAUCUCUAUAAAUGUUGUCAUGUUACUUUUGUCUAUUUACUAGUAAGUGUUAGUUUGGAAGUACUGCACAUACUUCUAUUGGCUUUUAAAUUAAGCAUGGUGCUUAGGUUAAACAGGCUUCCUUAAUCUAAUUAGACAUGGAGUCUAGUUUGGUUAUUGAACUAAAAACUGCUUGUGUAGACAUUGGUAUAUUUUUGUCGGACUAACCCCUGCAGAAAAGCAAAAAAACUUUCAAUAUCGAUUUUUGAAGUCCUGAGAUAAACUCACAUCAGAGACAAAGAGAGUGACACAUGAAGUUUAACAAUUUGCACAAGAAGGACAUAGCUCAUUCAUCAUAGAGAGAUGAUCCAUGGAGGGUACCACAAACACGAUGCACAACCGUUAAGAAAGGAAAGCUUCCACAAGGUGAUACUAUACCAUCACUCUUCAAGCAAGGUAACAUCUUAAGGUACUUGACUAUCACUUUUAUAAGCUUCUCCUUGGUUCUGGCGUUCAUAUAAAUAAAAGAGACAAACAUGUAUGAUUUACAACUCUAGAUUAACCAACCCAACUGAUUCAACAUGUUUAGUCCUUUAAUCCUUGUUCUUAGUACUACCUCCAUGAUCCCACACUCCUAAUCAUAUGAGCUAAAAUAUUACACAUUCAAUCAUUGAGAGAUAUAAAGAAAAAGACAUAUACAUAGAUAGAUUAUCUUUCUAUAAGGUUGAGCGAUCUGAUCUGACAAAUGUUAUAAGUGCUACACUCAUGAACUUUUCAUCCAUCGACUUUGUCUUGCUCACUAUGCUUAGGGUUAGAGAAGAACAAAUACACUUUAGGUUCUGUUGGUGUUUUCCACCAACAGGACCCAUGCACUUGAUCCCUGCCUUGUCUCUAUGAGCAGGUACACUUUGAGCAAAACAUGGAGGAGUUUUAUAACUCUCAGACUCUACCUAGUGAAGGACCUGGAUCUACGAGCACAAACACACUGAGCAGGUUACAGCCAACGCCGCACAUCCAACUGCUGGGCAAACGAAGAACAUGGGUGACACCGUAUCAAGAGGUGCAGACGUCAAGGUCCGCACCUGAAUCAAAUGACGCACCUGAAGAAUGAACACGGUGAGAAGUCUCGUUAAGAAGACUUAAAACAUUGAACCCUCGCCCAAAGGUAAGAUCAGUAGUUAUCCAUAUUUAUCCUUUCUGCAUUCCCUUUUCCCUUUAAUUAUUUACUUUCCUUAAAUAGAUUAUUAGUUAAUCAUGCUAUCUUGAAAAGAAAAUAAAAAUGUUAAAAAAAUAUUAAGCCCCAUGUGAGUAUACGAGUGGCAUAAAACCCAUAAGUACCUUCACUGUGGUGGCAUAAAAAUAAAAUAAAUAUUUAUUUUCUGCUUUAUAAAUAAAAAUAUAAAAACAGGGAGUAAUAUUUAUUGAGGAAGCUCAACAUGAUGAAGGCUAUAUAUUUAUGCUAACACUUAAUUAGUUCCACAAGCUUUGUUGUCUAUUUGAGCUCCACAGAAUUUAAGAAUCAAGAAGACUAGCAGACGGAGGAUAUUCUAAUUGCUGUCACAAUGCUGCUGACUUUCAAAUACACCUCUGCCACCUGCUAGCUACAUCAAGAGAAAUUACGUCAAAAUUCAGCUUGGGGGAGACCACCCCCAUUUAUCUCGCUAAGUAUUUCUACAUAUCUUUAUACUUAUAUUAUAUUAGAAUAUUAAAAUACAUAAACUAUGAAAAACCAAAUAAAGAUUUUGUGCUUAUAUAUAUCUUUUGCUUAGUGUGUUUAAUAAAUAAAUAAAGUGGCUAUGCUAAUCUGAAUCUUAAUAAUAAAACUCUAGCAUGGAUAUGAUGAAUAGUUGCUCUGCCUAAUUUGCAAAUUUGAAGUUCUCUCUCAAGUUUAGACAUAACUGUUAUAAUUUAAAGCUUGCUCUAGAUUUAAACUUGUGGGAUGAAACCUUGAUCUGAAAUCUAAGUUGUUAAUGGAUAUGAUAUGGGAAUGUUGAGCUGCUGUUUAUCUGUUCCUAGAGAUGCUAGAAUUCUGGAGAAUUUUAUCUUUGAAAAAAUCUUUAAAAUAUUGCAUGAUGAGUUCUUGUAUGAUGAAAGUUUAAAUUCCUACCACAGCCAUAUAUACAUGCUUGCUAGACUUUGAGCCACACAUUUAUUAUUUACUGCUUAUGAGCAUUGAGUGUGGUCAAGCUGUGUAGACCCUUAGGAGCUUGUCAUGUGGUUAAAUCAAGAUUCACUUGCACGUUCACUCAUAUAUGCUACUUCUACUCCGGAAGUACCAUCCACAUAUAUCCAUCUCCAGAACCACCCAAAAAUAUUCUACUCCUAAUCCGAGAGAGAAUAGCCAAAAAUAUUUCUGUUUUCCCUUGUGAAAUAAAUGCUCAAGUUAUCUUGCUACUACCACUUGCUAUAUUAUCUCAAGAGAUGAAUGCUCUGAAAAGAAAAAAAAAGAGAAGAGAAAAAAAUAUAUAUAUGAGGAAAUUAAAAGGGGCAAGUGCCCGGAACCUCGAAAGAAAGAAAAAGUGAGACGAGAGGUAAAAAUGGACAAGUGUCCGACAGAAGAAUUAGGGGUACAAGAUACCCACCUGAGAGGAAAUAAAAAGAAGAGCAUCUCAUUCUCCUCAUAAAGUUGCAAAAAGCAAGGAAGGUAUAUAUCCCCUCAAAAGAGCAAAAGUAGAAUUAGACUUUCACAAUUGUUAUCACCAUCAUCACCAUACACCAUUCAUUCGCCACAUAUGCAAAUCUUGAUUUGACUUAUUGACUUGUUUCUCUGGAUCCAUGGUUUGACUAUGCAAUAAAUGUCUUGUAAGUAUGUAUUAGCUGUCUCCCACCUAUGAGCUCCAGAUAUUAAAGCCUUAUUAGAGUAGGGUGAGAGAGAAGGCAAUGUCACUAUGCCUUAUACCACAAAUACCAUAUAUCUUGAGAGAAGGCAUAUACCAUCACUGCCUUGGUAAGGAUCCAGAAAUACCAUAAAAGAGAGAUUUAGAGAGUCAUACAAGGAAUCUCUAAGUUUUAUUUGAAAAUCUGCAAAAACUCCAGAGCUAUAGCUGAUCAAGAAUAAGAGACAUGGCACUUGGCUAGACUGUUCUAUCUUUUAACUACUCAAGACAGAAGUGACGGUUACAAGUCCCAUGGUGAAAGGUAAAGUAAGUAAGUUUUAGUUCUUGAUAGUUUACUCUAACUCAGAGAUGAGAUCUUAUUUAAAAGCAUGUGUACCGUCAAAUUUUUAAGAUAUUGCAACAACUUCUGAUCCAUUGCUGAGUCUAUCCUUGCUCAGGGACGAGCAAGAGGUAAGCUUGGGGGAGUUUGUGGACGGUCCUUAAGUAUCAAAUUUAAUUAUCAAAUAAACAAAGAAAAGGAUCCAAAUGAAAUCAACAUCUAGACUUAGGGUUUUAUCUGACAGACUUCCACGAGUUUUGGUGUUUGUCUAUUUUUGCAGGGGGUUAUCAGGAAAUAUGGAAGAAAUGCCCACACGUCGGGAUUACAUAGAGAUAUUAACGUGCCGCGCAAUUAUCUCACAUCUAGAAGACUCCAGAAGCCACGGGAAGGAAGCGGAGGCCGAACGGGGCCAGAGGCAGGGCGCCCGCCCUCCUGCCCUAGGCGCCCGCCCUGACUUGGAGCCCAAUCAGGACUCUUUCUCUCGGGAGAUCUCCACCGACCUAAAGGAUCAAGAAUAACCGUUCAAUCAAUGUCGGUUUGAUCCGACGGCCCAGGUUCACUUGAGGGGACUAUAUAACCAGACCCCCUGGCCCCUGGAGGAGGCAACCCCUUGAUCAUUAUUCAUUAUUCAUAGACAGAGCAAAAGCUAGGGUUUAGAGAUGAGAGCUCUCCUCUCUUCUCUAAACUAUAGUAGAUCUAGAUAGUAGCAAGAUGGAGAGCGAAGGAGGAUUAGAGGAGAGGCCGGCCUGUCGGUUCUUCCUCCGGUUGUACUUCGUCAUGAUCAAGCUCUAAUCAAGCUUGC
rnacentral:lncRNA from 1 species